rnacentral:rRNA from 1 species
GAUGAACGCUGGCGGCGUGCCUAAUACAUGCAAGUCGAGCGAACAGACGAGGAGCUUGCUCCUCUGACGUUAGCGGCGGACGGGUGAGUAACACGUGGAUAACCUACCUAUAAUACUGGGAUCACUUCGGGAAACCGGAGCUAAUACCGGAUAAUAUAUUGAACCGCAUGGUUCAAUAGUGAAAGACGGUUUUGCUGUCACUUAUAGAUGGAUUCCGGCCGGCUUAGCUAGUUGGUAAGGUCACGGCUUACCAAGGGUACGAUGCGUAGCCGACCUGGGAGGGUGGUCAGCCGCACUGGAACUGAGACACGGUCCAGGUUCCGACGGGAGGCAGCAGUAGGGAAUCUUCCGCAAUUGGCGAAAGCCUGACGGAGCAACGCCUCGUGGGUGAUGAAGGUCUUCGGAUCGUGAAACUCUGUUAUUAGGGAAAAACAAAUGUGUAAGUAACUAUGCACGUCUUGACGGUACCUAAUCAGAAAGCCACGGCUAACUACGUG